GUGAAAUUGUAGUCGUAGUCUAACAGACGCAUCCGUUACUAAUAAUAGUUACGUGAUCUUUUGCCAUAUUAUCGGUUAUCUGAUUGUUGCUGAAAAUACGAUUUUUGGUGGGCCUGCCAGUGUCCCACCAGUUCCGAUAAAUUUUUACGUGAUCUGCAACUCACAUAUUUUGUCCUGGUAUUCUGCUACCGUCCCGAAGGGCGUUACCAUUUUAUAUGAAUUUUCUUAGCCACAAAGAUUUCCGUCUUUGGCCAAUUUAUUCAGACAUCGUUGAACUUAUUGACGUAUGGUUCAAGAUUUGAUUUUUUUGUGCAAACUAAAGAAAAAAUCUAGUACACCAGGCUAGAAAA